rnacentral:rRNA from 1 species
AUGCAGUCGAGCGGAACGAUGGAGCUUGCUCCAGGCGUCGAGCGGCGGACGGGUGAGUAACGCGUAGGAAUCUACCCAUUAGCGGGGGAUAGCCCGGGGAAACUCGGAUUAAUACCGCAUACGCCCUACGGGGGAAAGGUGGCCUCUUCUUGAAAGCUACCGCUAUUGGAGGAGCCUGCGUUGGAUUAGCUUGUUGGUGGGGUAAUGGCCUACCAAGGCGACGAUCCAUAGCUGGUCUGAGAUGACGAUCAGCCACACUGGGACUGAGACACGGCCCAGACUCCUACGGGAGGCAGCAGUCGGGAAUAUUGGACAAUGGGCGCAAGCCUGAUCCAGCCAUGCCGCGUGUGUGAAGAAGGCCUUAGGGUUGUAAAGCACUUUCAGGAGUGAAGAAAAGCGGAGUGUGAAUAACGCUCUGUCUUGACGUUAGCUCCAGAAGAAGCACCGGCUAACUCCGUGCCAGCAGCCGCGGUAAUACG